rnacentral:rRNA from 1 species
ACCAUCCUCCAAGGCUAAAUACUCCUGACUGACCGAUAGUGAACCAGUACCGUGAGGGAAAGGCGAAAAGAACCCCGGCGAGGGGAGUGAAAAAGAACCUGAAACCGUGUACGUACAAGCAGUGGGAGCACCUUCGGGUGUGACUGCGUACCUUUUGUAUAAUGGGUCAGCGACUUAUAUUCUGUAGCAAGGUUAACCGUAUAGGGGAGCCGCAGGGAAACCGAGUCUUAACUGGGCGUUAAGUUGCAGGGUAUAGACCCGAAACCCGGU